rnacentral:lncRNA from 1 species
AGAGCAACUAGGUUUUAAUAACUGAUUUCCAUUUUCAAUGUGUUCCUGAAGAUUUCAUGACUUCACCCGGAACUCCAGCUACAAUGGAGAACAAUUCCUCCCGUGUAUGUGCGUCUACCAAAAGGGAGGGAGAGGUGCUAAAACCCUGAGGCUGCCCGGUGCCUCCAUUAUCAGAGGAUCUAGUCCGUGCACAGAUUUCCAAAAGGUUAGUGGACAACCUCCAUUUUCUUCAGUUGUACAUUGAAACAGUCUACUUGUUCUCAUGUUAUGGUGCGUGGAAGCUACCAAAGAGGUCUUUUGUGUACAGACUCCCCUGGUGAAAUGUCUCAAAGGUUUAUAAUGCUUCUCAUAAUCCUAUUGAGCUGAAAAGGUUUCCAGCAGCACAAGGAAUAUGUUCUGGUGUUGUCCUCCAAGCUUCUUGUGGCUUGCAGCACAGUGGCGAUCCAAACUGGUGAACCGAAGAGGAACGUGUGAACUUAACCGCUCUACCACAGGGCUGGCCCCUAAAAUUGUCUUUUAAAGCAUGCAACUGGAGC